rnacentral:rRNA from 1 species
GAUGAACGCCGGCGGUGUGCCUAAUACAUGCAAGUCGUACGCACUGGCCCAACUGAUUGAUGGUGCUUGCACCUGAUUGACGAUGGAUCACCAGUGAGUGGCGGACGGGUGAGUAACACGUAGGUAACUUGCCCCGGAGCGGGGAUGACAUUUGGAAACAGAUGCUAAUACCGCAUAACAAACAAAAGCCACAUGGCGUUUUUGUUUGAAAGAUGGCUUUGGCUAUCACUCUGGGAUGGACCUGCGGUGCAUUAGCUAGUUGGUAGAGGUACGUCUACCAAGGCGAUGAUGCAUAGCCGAGUUGAGAGACUGAUCGGCCACAAUGGAACUGAGACACGGUCCAU